AUUGAACGCUGGCGGCAGGCCUAACACAUGCAAGUCGAACGAGUGGCGGACGGGUGAGUAAUGUCUGGGAAACUGCCUGAUGGAGGGGGAUAACUACUGGAAACGGUAGCUAAUACCGCAUACCAUCGGAUGUGCCCAGAUGGGAUUAGCUAGUAGGUGGGGUAAAGGCUCACCUAGGCGACGAUCCCUAGCUGGUCUGAGAGGAUGACCGUCCACACUGGAACUCAGACACGGUCCAGACGCCUACGGGAGGCAGCAGUGGAGAAUAUUGCACAAUGGGCGAAAGCCUGAUGCAGCCAUGCCACGUGUAUUAAGACGGCCUUCGGGUUGUAAAGUACUUUCAGCGGGUAUGCGUUACCCGCAGAAGAAGCACCGGCUAACUCCGUGCCAGCAGCCGCGGUAAUAC
rnacentral:rRNA from 1 species